CGCGCUUAAUACAUGCAAGUCGAACGAGAAGCCAGAGCUUGCUCUGGUGGAAAGUGGCGAACGGGUGAGUAACACGUGAGAAACCUGCCCCAAAGAUUGGGAUAAGCCUUGGAAACGAGGUCUAAUACCAAAUACCUUCCUUUUAACACAUGUUAAAAAGAAGAAAUGCUCCGGCGCUUUGGGAUGGUCUCGCGAUCUAUCAGCUUGUUGGUGAGGUAAACGGGCUCACCAAGGCAUCGACGGAUAGCUGGUCUGAGAGGAUGUCCAGCCACAUUGGAACUGAGACACGGUCCAAACUCCUACGGGAGGCAGCAGUAGGGAAUCUUGCACAAUGAGGGAAACCUUGAUGCAGCGACGCCGCGUGCGGGACGAAGGCCCUAGGGUUGUAAACCGCUUUCAGUAGGGACGAAAGUGACGGUACCUACAGAAGAAGCCCCGGCCAACUAUGUG
rnacentral:rRNA from 1 species